GAUGAACGCUGGCGGCGUGCUUAACACAUGCAAGUGGAGCGAUGAACCGGGCUUCGGCCCGGGGCAAAGCCGCGAACGGGUGAGUAACACGUGGGUCAUCUGCCCAGUUGACAGGGACAACCCGGGGAAACCCGAGCUAAUACCUGAUGUGCCCCUCGGGGAAAGGAGCUUCGGCCUCCGCAACUGGAUGAGCCCGCGGCCCAUUAGUUUGUUGGUGGGGUAAUGGCCUACCAAGACUGCGAUGGGUAGCUGGUCUGAGAGGACGAUCAGCCACACUGGGACUGAGACACGGCCCAGACUCCUACGGGAGGCAGCAGUGGGGAAUCUUGCGCAAUGCGCGAAAGCGUGACGCAGCAACGCCGCGUGGAGGAAGACGGCCU
rnacentral:rRNA from 1 species